rnacentral:sRNA from 2 species
GAGAGGCGGCCGCCGAAUUCGCGAUCUCGCGGAGCCGGGGACCCACAUGUUCCUGGGGUGAAUCGGCGCGCUCCGCUUGAGCGCUCCGUAGGGCACUUCCACGCCCGAACCCGUCAGCUAACCCGGUAGGCGGCAUGGAAGCAAGGA